rnacentral:rRNA from 1 species
GGUUAAGCGACUAAGCGUACACGGUGGAUGCCCUGGCAGUCAGAGGCGAUGAAGGACGUGCUAAUCUGCGAUAAGCGUCGGUAAGGUGAUAUGAACCGUUAUAACCGGCGAUUUCCGAAUGGGGAAACCCAGUGUGUUUCGACACACUAUCAUUAACUGAAUCCAUAGGUUAAUGAGGCGAACCGGGGGAACUGAAACAUCUAAGUACCCCGAGGAAAAGAAAUCAACCGAGAUUCCCCCAGUAGCGGCGAGCGAACGGGGAGCAGCCCAGAGCCUGAAUCAGUGUGUGUGUUAGUGGAAGCGUCUGGAAAGGCGCGCGAUACAGGGUGACAGCCCCGUACACAAAAAUGCACAUGCUGUGAGCUCGAUGAGUAGGGCGGGACACGUGGUAUCCUGUCUGAAUAUGGGGGGACCAUCCUCCAAGGCUAAAUACUCCUGACUGACCGAUAGUGAACCAGUACCGUGAGGGAAAGGCGAAAAGAACCCCGGCGAGGGGAGUGAAAAAGAACCUGAAACCGUGUACGUACAAGCAGUGGGAGCACGCUUAGGCGUGUGACUGCGUACCUUUUGUAUAAUGGGUCAGCGACUUAUAUUCUGUAGCAAGGUUAACCGAAUAGGGGAGCCGAAGGGAAACCGAGUCUUAACUGGGCGUUAAGUUGCAGGGUAUAGACCCGAAACCCGGUGAUCUAGCCAUGGGCAGGUUGAAGGUUGGGUAACACUAACUGGAGGACCGAACCGACUAAUGUUGAAAAAUUAGCGGAUGACUUGUGGCUGGGGGUGAAAGGCCAAUCAAACCGGGAGAUAGCUGGUUCUCCCCGAAAGCUAUUUAGGUAGCGCCUCGUGAAUUCAUCUCCGGGGGUAGAGCACUGUUUCGGCAAGGGGGUCAUCCCGACUUACCAACCCGAUGCAAACUGCGAAUACCGGAGAAUGUUAUCACGGGAGACACACGGCGGGUGCUAACGUCCGUCGUGAAGAGGGAAACAACCCAGACCGCCAGCUAAGGUCCCAAAGUCAUGGUUAAGUGGGAAACGAUGUGGGAAGGCCCAGACAGCCAGGAUGUUGGCUUAGAAGCAGCCAUCAUUUAAAGAAAGCGUAAUAGCUCACUGGUCGAGUCGGCCUGCGCGGAAGAUGUAACGGGGCUAAACCAUGCACCGAAGCUGCGGCAGCGACGCUUAUGCGUUGUUGGGUAGGGGAGCGUUCUGUAAGCCUGCGAAGGUGUGCUGUGAGGCAUGCUGGAGGUAUCAGAAGUGCGAAUGCUGACAUAAGUAACGAUAAAGCGGGUGAAAAGCCCGCUCGCCGGAAGACCAAGGGUUCCUGUCCAACGUUAAUCGGGGCAGGGUGAGUCGACCCCUAAGGCGAGGCCGAAAGGCGUAGUCGAUGGGAAACAGGUUAAUAUUCCUGUACUUGGUGUUACUGCGAAGGGGGGACGGAGAAGGCUAUGUUGGCCGGGCGACGGUUGUCCCGGUUUAAGCGUGUAGGCUGGUUUUCCAGGCAAAUCCGGAAAAUCAAGGCUGAGGCGUGAUGACGAGGCACUACGGUGCUGAAGCAACAAAUGCCCUGCUUCCAGGAAAAGCCUCUAAGCAUCAGGUAACAUCAAAUCGUACCCCAAACCGACACAGGUGGUCAGGUAGAGAAUACCAAGGCGCUUGAGAGAACUCGGGUGAAGGAACUAGGCAAAAUGGUGCCGUAACUUCGGGAGAAGGCACGCUGAUAUGUAGGUGAAGUCCCUCGCGGAUGGAGCUGAAAUCAGUCGAAGAUACCAGCUGGCUGCAACUGUUUAUUAAAAACACAGCACUGUGCAAACACGAAAGUGGACGUAUACGGUGUGACGCCUGCCCGGUGCCGGAAGGUUAAUUGAUGGGGUCAGCGCAAGCGAAGCUCUUGAUCGAAGCCCCGGUAAACGGCGGCCGUAACUAUAACGGUCCUAAGGUAGCGAAAUUCCUUGUCGGGUAAGUUCCGACCUGCACGAAUGGCGUAAUGAUGGCCAGGCUGUCUCCACCCGAGACUCAGUGAAAUUGAACUCGCUGUGAAGAUGCAGUGUACCCGCGGCAAGACGGAAAGACCCCGUGAACCUUUACUAUAGCUUGACACUGAACAUUGAGCCUUGAUGUGUAGGAUAGGUGGGAGGCUUUGAAGUGUGGACGCCAGUCUGCAUGGAGCCGACCUUGAAAUACCACCCUUUAAUGUUUGAUGUUCUAACGUUGACCCGUAAUCCGGGUUGCGGACAGUGUCUGGUGGGUAGUUUGACUGGGGCGGUCUCCUCCUAAAGAGUAACGGAGGAGCACGAAGGUUGGCUAAUCCUGGUCGGACAUCAGGAGGUUAGUGCAAUGGCAUAAGCCAGCUUGACUGCGAGCGUGACGGCGCGAGCAGGUGCGAAAGCAGGUCAUAGUGAUCCGGUGGUUCUGAAUGGAAGGGCCAUCGCUCAACGGAUAAAAGGUACUCCGGGGAUAACAGGCUGAUACCGCCCAAGAGUUCAUAUCGACGGCGGUGUUUGGCACCUCGAUGUCGGCUCAUCACAUCCUGGGGCUGAAGUAGGUCCCAAGGGUAUGGCUGUUCGCCAUUUAAAGUGGUACGCGAGCUGGGUUUAGAACGUCGUGAGACAGUUCGGUCCCUAUCUGCCGUGGGCGCUGGAGAACUGAGGGGGGCUGCUCCUAGUACGAGAGGACCGGAGUGGACGCAUCACUGGUGUUCGGGUUGUCAUGCCAAUGGCACUGCCCGGUAGCUAAAUGCGGAAGAGAUAAGUGCUGAAAGCAUCUAAGCACGAAACUUGCCCCGAGAUGAGUUCUCCCUGACCCUUUAAGGGUCCUGAAGGAACGUUGAAGACGACGACGUUGAUAGGCCGGGUGUGUAAGCGCAGCGAUGCGUUGAGCUAACCGGUACUAAUGAACCGUGAGGCUUAACCUU